rnacentral:lncRNA from 1 species
UACAGGUCUGGUCUCUCUACUGCCCCCUCUGGGGAUAAUAGAUACAGGUCUACUGCCCCCUCUGGGGAUAAUAGAUACAGGUCAGUUCUCUCUACUGCCCCCUCUGGGGAUAAUAGAUACAGGUCAGUUCUCUCUACUGCCCCCUCUGGGGAUAAUAGAUACAGGUCUACUGCCCCCUCUGGGGAUAAUAGAUACAGGUCUACUGCCCCCUCUGGGGGUAAUAGAUACAGGUCAGUUCUCUCUACUGCCCCCUCUGGGGAUAAUAGAUACAGGUCUGCUCUCUCUACUGCCCCCUCUGGGGGUAAUAGAUACAGGUCAGUUCUCUCUACUGCCCCCUCUGGGG